AUACUUACCUGGCAGGGGAGAUCUCAUGAUCAUAAGGGUGAUUUUCCCAAGGUGAGGCUCAUCCAUUGCUCUCUAGGUAUGUUAACCCGUGACUCCUCCAAAGGCAGGGAAGUCGGCUGCAUAAUUUGUGGUAGCAAAAAGUAUUGGUGUUCUAUC